rnacentral:sRNA from 1 species
CCGGAGACGAGCUUUGGGUGCUUAGAUAUAUUUUUCUGGCGUGAAGUGUUGUGUGGAGUGUUCAUUAUCAGCAUGGUUUGCACGAGUACUUGUACACGAUG